AGUCUUUGAGGGAAGGAGUUGAUCUGGCUCGAGAAAUACAAGUAUCUGGAAAAGCUAUGCAGACGCUUGACAACUGGAUAAGAGUUUCUAACUACCGUAAGCAUCUCUCUCACAUGACCAUCCAUUUCUUGGUUUUAAGGUUUUGCUAGAAUCUGGAUCACUAACAAACGUUCUUCUGACUGCCCAAUUCCACCCUAGAACCAAAUUGUCCACUCAGUACUCGAAGUCUAGCUCGCCAACGGUGUUGAACCCCAGCUCCUCUCCCUGAACCUCAGACUUACCAGCAACAAGAUCAUCAAUGGCGACCCAAAACGUUCCAACCUGGAGAGUAACUCAUUUCAAGGCUCCGAAAAUUGGACCACGAAAGACGAUGCCAACAUGGCACUGCUAGCUUCUUCAACCAUUGUAUGGAGCCAUUGUUGGGCUAGUUUAGCUUCUCCUAUUUGUUUCAAGAUGAGAAUGCCAAGUGUUUCAAAUCAUAGUUUUGUCUCUGUAUGUGCAGUAAAUAACAUGACAUUCUGCUACAUGAAGUCAUUGCUCUGGGAUCAGUAUUGCAUAAAUAAAGUCCUGCAAGUAUUAUGCUUCCACAUGUUGAUUUAUGGUUGAACCAGUCAGACCAACCGAUCUGAUACAGUUUUUUGAAGGACUAAAAAUCAAUUCAACUCUCCCGUGGGCUUUUGUUUCGUUAAGAAUCGUAAAUCUUAUUUGGGCCUCCAACUUCUCUCGACCCGACUUCAUAAACCCCCCGUCCUGUAAACGGGCAUUUUUCUCUACUUCGAACAAGAGAGACGGGCGGACAUGGCGACGGCGAUGCAGCGAGGC
rnacentral:lncRNA from 1 species